rnacentral:rRNA from 1 species
UUCCGGUUGAUCCUGCCGGAGGCCAUUGCUAUCGGGGUCCGAUUUAGCCAUGCUAGUCGCACGGGUUCAGACCCGUGGCAAACAGCUCAGUAACACGUGGCCAAACUACCCUAUGGACGUGGACACCCUCGGGAAACUGAGGCUAAUCCACGAUACGGCUCCCACGCUGGAACGCGGGGAGCCGGAAACGCUCCGGCGCCCUAGGAUGUGGCUGCGGUCGAUUAGGUAGACGGUGGGGUAACGGCCCACCGUGCCCAUAAUCGGUACGGGAUGUGAGAGCAAAUAGCCCGGAGAUGGUAUCUGAGACAAGAUACCAGGCCCUACGGGGCGCAGCAGGCGCGAAACCUUUACACUGCACGCCAGUGCGAUAAGGGGACCCCGAGUGCGAGGGCAUACAGUCCUCGCUUUUGUACACCGUAAGGAGGUGUACGAAUAAGGGCUGGGCAAGACCGGUGCCAGCCGCCGCGGUAAUACCGGCAGCCCGAGUGAUGGCCGCUGUUAUUGGGCCUAAAGCGUCCGUAGCCGGCCGAACAAGUCUGUCGGGAAAUCCAUCCGCCUAACGGAUGGGCGUCCGGCAGAAACUGUUCGGCUUGGGGCCGGAAGAUCCGAGGGGUACGUCUGGGGUAGGAGUGAAAUCCUGUAAUCCUGGACGGACCGCCGGUGGCGAAAGCGCCUCGGAAGGACGGACCCGACGGUGAGGGACGAAAGCUGGGGUCUCGAACCGGAUUAGAUACCCGGGUAGUCCCAGCCGUAAACGAUGAUCGCUAGGUGUGGCACAGGCUACGAGCCUGUGCUGUGCCGUAGGGAAGCCGUGAAGCGAUCCGCCUGGGAAGUACGUCCGCAAGGAUGAAACUUAAAGGAAUUGGCGGGGGAGCACUACAACCGGAGGAGCCUGCGGUUCAAUUGGACUCAACGCCGGA